UACGUAGGGGGCAAGCGUUAUCCGGAUUUACUGGGUGUAAAGGGAGCGUAGACGGCAGAGCAAGUCCGGAGUGAAAGCCCGGGGCCCAACCCCGGGACUGCUCUGGAAACUGUUAAGCUGGAGUGCGGGAGGGGCAGGCGGAAUUCCUGGUGUAGCGGUGAAAUGCGUAGAUAUCAGGAGGAACACCGGCGGCGAAGGCGGCCUGCUGGACCGUGACUGACGUUGAGGCUCGAAAGCGUGGGGUGCAAACAGG
rnacentral:rRNA from 1 species